GGCGGCAUGGCCAAGUGGUAAGGCAGAUGUCUGCAACAUCUUUAUCCCCAGUUCGAAUCUGGGUGCCGCCUCCA
rnacentral:tRNA from 1 species